rnacentral:rRNA from 1 species
UACGUAGGGUGCGAGCGUUAAUCGGAAUUACUGGGCGUAAAGCGUGCGCAGGCGGCGCGUUAAGACAGGUGUGAAAGCCCCGAGCUUAACUUGGGAAUUGCGCUUGUGACUGGCGUGCUGGAGUGUGGCAGAGGGAGGUGGAAUUCCGACGUGUAGCAGUGAAAUGCGUAGAGAUGUGGAGGAACACCGAUGGCGAAGGCAGCCUCCUGGGCCAGCACUGACGCUCAUGCACGAAGCGUGGGAGCAACAGGAAUUAGAU